GAAAGCGAAAGCAGAGCUCGGAACCUGCACGGCCUUCCUGGGUUUGGGGAGUGGAGGGACUGCAGGAGGCGGGGACAGCCUACUGAGAGGCGGGGGCUCCCCCGGCAGCCCGAGUAGCGUUUCCGCCCAGCGCUCGGGUCUCUCCCCUCGCCUGCCAGGCCCGCCUCCCAAAGCCCGCCUGCCAGCGCCCGUACCUCUGCCCCUUCCCACCCCGCCUUCCAUUUCCGGGCACCCCCUACUUCUGCUAGGGCCAGGGCAAUAAUAAGCCUUACUUGGGGGUUUUAAAUCUUUUCUGAUUUGGAGCAAGACCUGGUCUUUCUUCUCCAUGCCGGCGUGGUCCCCUGACUUAAGCAUACUCCAGGCCCAGCACCGAGAGCUGGCACUAUCCUUAUCCAAGCUCCGCACAAAGCCAUUGUGGCACACUCUGUUGCCCUGUGGAUCAUUCCCCCACAGCAGGGAUUCAGGCCUGUAUGAUAAAAUCCAAAGACCUUUCUUUCAUAAUCACCUGCCCCCUCCAAGUUGACGGUCUAUUGCUUUCCAGACUCAUCCAUUACACAAGAAAAUGCUUGUAGCUACUUAGUGUUUAUUCCGACUUCAAGGACUCUGCCCUUGGGAAACCUACAACACUCUUCCCUCAAUGUCCGCACUCAGUUCGGAUGUCAAUUUUUCAGAGAGAAUUUUCCACCAUCCUUCAGAAAGUACCUCCCUUGCCCAGUUUAUUACCUCAUCCUGUUUCAGUGCCUCCUCAGCACCUGUGACUGUGACAUGAGGCACUUUUCCUUUAACCAGGGGCAGACAAACUUUCUGUCAGGGGUUGGUGAUAGCUAUUUAGGUUUGGGAAGUGGUACCAUGUCUGUAGCAUCUCAACUAUACUACUUCGAGAGGCAAGCAGCCCACAAAAUAAAUUCCUGUGGAGCUCAUCUGCUUCCAAGCAACAGAAGCCUUGUUUGUCUUGUUCACAUGCUUGGCUCAACUCACCUUUGUGAAAUGAAUGACUGUGCCAUCCUUAUGAGAUAGAGUUAUGUUUUCGGAUUGAGCGGGAUCGGGGGAAGAGCCCAUGGCCUGGGAUCCCAGGAGACCAGGGUUGGUGGUACCAGCUGCCAUAGUGUUCCGACUGGCAACAGAACAGAGAGGCCUGGAGAAGGAAGGUGGGAUCCCUGAGUGUAGGGAGGCAGCGCCCAUGGACUCUGGUGGACUCACAUGUUGAAGAAGUUGCCGUGGCUAGCGAAGAUCGUCCG